rnacentral:rRNA from 1 species
UACGUAGGGGGGCUAGCGUUGUCCGGAAUCAUUGGGCGUAAAGCGCGUGUAGGCGGCCCGGUAAGUCCGCUGUAAAAGUCCAGGGCUCAACCCUGGAAAGCCGGUGGAUACUGUCGGGCUCGAGUCCGGAAGAGGCGAGUGGAAUUCCUGGUGUAGCGGUGAAAUGCGCAGAUAUCAGGAGGAACACCGAUGGCGAAGGCAGCUCGCUGGGACGGUACUGACGCUGGAGACGCGAAAGCGUGGGGAGCAAACAGG